rnacentral:rRNA from 1 species
CCUACGGGUGGCAGCAGUGGGGAAUAUUGGGCAAUGGAGGCAACUCUGACCCAGCAACGCCGCGUGAAUGAUGAAGGUCUUCGGAUUGUAAAGUUCUUUUCUAAGGGAAGAAGAAAGUGACGGUACCUUAGGAAUAAGCCUCGGCUAACUACGUGCCAGCAGCCGCGGUAAUACGUAGGAGGCAAGCGUUAUCCGGAAUUACUGGGUGUAAAGGGAGCGUAGACGGUAAUGCAAGUCUGGAGUGAAAGGCGGGGGCGCAACCCCCGGACUGCUCUGGAAACUGUGUAACUGGAGUGCAGGAGAGGCAGGCGGAAUUCCUAGUGUAGCGGUGAAAUGCGUAGAUAUUAGGAGGAACACCAGUGGCGAAGGCGGCCUGCUGGACUGUAACUGACAUUGAUGCUCGAAAGUGUGGGUAUCAAACAGGAUUAGAUACCCUUGUAGUC